rnacentral:lncRNA from 1 species
UACUCUGCCAUGGAAUGUCAGUUGCAGUGAGCUCACUCGCCGAGUUCUCCAUUAGCUCAGCCGAUGAACACUCGAAGCUAGUUACCCAUCGAGAGGAGGACAUGCCAGAGCAAACCAAGAUUUAAACUUUUCUAUUCUCAACUUCUCAUUUAUUUAUUUAUAUAUCCUUAGAAGAUUAGGACUUUAGGUUAGAUUAGCCAUGGAAGCUGCAUCAUCUACUAUCAAAAGAUAGUUUAGAUGGAUGGAGAUUUGUGUAAUAUUAAGACACAUAAAGUUAGUUCAGUUAGACUUCUAAUUUGGGAUUUUGGUCAUAAACUUAUCUUUAUAGAACCAAAUUCAUUACACCGUGUCUUAUAGUCAGAAUCUUUAUCAAAACCUGUCUCUUCUAAACUAAAUAGUUGCAGAACAAACACAAAAAGAUGAAUCUUUAGAAAGAAUCUUGAUGGUUUCUUGAACUCAAGCUAACAUAAAGAUCGAUGACAAACCUGAAUCAAUUAGUGAAAGUGUAAUUAAGAACAAUGGAAAGUGAGCUUAUCUCUUGAUCGUCUCUCUUCCAUGAUCGGUCACUGUAAGCUCGAAUUCGAUCGGAGUUUCGAGAAAAGAUCAG